rnacentral:rRNA from 1 species
AAUAGAUACCCGGGUAGUCCACGCCCUAAACGAUGUCUACUAGUUGUUGGUGGAGUAAAAUCCAUUAGUAACGCAGCUAACGCGUGAAGUAGACCGCCUGGGGAGUACGGUCGCAAGAUUAAAACUCAAAGGAAUUGACGGGGGCCCGGCACAAGCGGUGGAUUAUGUGGAUUAAUUCGAUGCAACGCGAAAAACCUUACCUGGCCUUGACAUGCCACUAACGAAGCAGAGAUGCAUUAGGUGCCCGAAAGGGAAAGUGGACACAGGUGCUGCAUGGCUGUCGUCAGCUCGUGUCGUGAGAUGUUGGGUUAAGUCCCGCAACGAGCGCAACCCUUGCCAAUAAUUGCCAUCAUUCAGUUGGGCACUUUAUUGGGACUGCCGGUGACAAACCGGAGGAAGGUGGGGAUGACGUCAAGUCCUCAUGGCCCUUAUGGCCAGGGCUUCACACGUAAAUCAAUGGUCGGUACAGAGGGUAGCCAAAGCCGCGAGGUGGAGCCAAUCCCAGAAAGCCGAUCGUAGUCCGGAUUGCAGUCUG